GAUGAACGCUGGCGACAGGCUUAACACAUGCAAGUCGAGGGGAAACGACGGGGAAGCUUGCUUCUCCGGGCGUCGACCGGCGCACGGGUGAGUAACGCGUAACCAACCUGCCUCUGACGGAGGGAUAACCCGUCGCAAGUCGGCCUAAGACCUCAUGGCAUCAUCGGCGGGCAUCAAAGGACGAUUAAAGAUUUCAGCGACCAGAGGAGGGGAUGCGUCUGCUUAGCUUAUUGGCGAGGGAACGGCCCACCAAGGCGACGGUCAGUAGGGGGUCUGGUGGGAAGGCCCCCCACAUCGGAACCGCGACCCGGUCCCCACUCCUACGGGAGGGAGCAGUGUGGUAUAUUGGUCACUGGGCGCUAGCCUGACCCAGCCACGUAGCGUGCAGGAUGCCGGCCCUAUUGGUUGUCUACUGCUUUUAUGCGAGGAUAAUGUGAGGGACGGGUCCUUCCUUGCCGGUACCGAAUGAAUAAGCACCGGCUAAUUACGUG
rnacentral:rRNA from 1 species